GGAGGAGAGGAGGAGGAGGUGGACGGAGAAGAAGAAGACGAAGGAGGAGAAGGAGGAGGAGGACGGUGGACUCGCUAACGACGGCGAACGUCCUCGAGGGUGCAAGAUACCAGCACCAGCAACACCACCGACGACGAUGAUCGUGACAGGCGGCGAUCGACGUACAUGUUGGAGAAGGAGGCGCCGAUUCGCGGUUGCGGUACUGGCCUCGGCUCUACUGACCCUAGCGAUCGGUCCCGCGCCAACCGAGGGACACAGGCCAGCACCGAACAAUCCGAUCAUUCUGCAGACGAGCACCAGCACGACAACUACGCCCUUCUACGUGCACACGGUGAAUGGUACCGUCUUAACGAACGGCAACUACGAUGAGUUCGAUGCACACGCGGAGGACGGAUACAACAGUACCAUCCAUCAUCACCAUCAUAAGAAGGUCGGCGGUAACAUGACCGAGGAGAAGGCGCCUCUGUUUCCCGAAGAUCUCUUCACCGUCCAUCAACGGCGACGCGGUGCCGUGAUACUUCACGUAAUCGGUGUGGUGUACAUGUUUGUCGCGUUGGCGAUCGUUUGCGACGAGUUCUUCGUGCCGUCUUUGGACGUGAUUAUCGAGAAACUGGAGAUCGCCGACGACGUUGCAGGUGCUACCUUCAUGGCGGCCGGCGGUUCGGCCCCGGAACUCUUCACAUCGAUAAUCGGCGUGUUCGUAUCGUUCGACGACGUCGGUAUCGGCACCAUCGUCGGUUCGGCCGUCUUCAAUAUUCUCUUCGUGAUCGGCAUGUGCGCUAUAUUCUCGCGUACCGUGCUCUCCCUCACAUGGUGGCCUCUAUUUCGCGACUGCACCUUUUAUAGCGCCAGUCUGCUCACCCUGAUCUAUUUCUUCCGUGAUAAUUAUAUUUACUGGUACGAGGCCCUCGUACUCUUUGGAUUCUACUUGGCUUACGUGAGCUUCAUGAAGUGGAACCAACCGAUGGAAAAGCUGGUCAAGAGAGUGAUCUACAGGAACAAGGUGACCCGGGUGAGGUCUACCGAUCAGCUGAUGCCCUCGCACCAGAGCGCCGCCCAGGCAUUGCAGCAUCCGAACGCGACGAACAGUAGCGAGACGAGCGUGGGUGGCGUGUCGGGUGCAUGCGGAAGCAGCGGCAUACCGGCGGGUGGAGAGGCCGGGUGCAGCAGCAGAGGUGGCAGCAGCAGUGGUGCCGGUGGCACGGCCGGACAGGGCUGCGAGCAGGCAGCCCUCGGUGGCUCCUCGUCUCAUUCCAGGGAGAGCCACGCCAAGUUCAGGCACGGCUUGCUACAGCUUAUGAUCCACACGAUCGAUCCGCUCCACGACGGUCAGUCCCGCGCCGGCAAAGUGGACGAGAAAGCGACGCAAUUGCACGCGAUAGCUUCGCUAAAGGUGCUACUGGAUGCCACCAGGCCGCACAACGGCGCUGCUACGUCGACCGCCGCCCAUUAUUCCGGUGCCUCGUCGAGAGAGACCACUCUGCAGCUGCAGCAAGGCUCCCAGGGCACCACCACGACCACCACUACGACGACGACCACCGCCGGCACCACCGCCGGCAUCCAGGAACUUCCCAAUGGCGGUAUAGCCGCUGGCCUCGAUGCGGGGCUCGAUUCGGGAGAGGAGGAUGAACCUCCGGAAGCCUUGGACAUGGGCUGGCCCAGCAGUCCCAGGAAAAGACUAACUUACAUUUUGGUCGCGCCAAUUCUGUUCCCUCUGUGGCUGACGUUACCAGACACAAGGACACCCAGAGGGAAAAAGUUCUUCGCGGUGACGUUCAUCGGCUCGAUCUUCUGGAUCGCAGCGUACUCGUACCUGAUGGUCUGGUGGGCGAACAUCGCCGGCGACACGGUUCGCAUUCCGCCGGAAGUGAUGGGCCUGACGUUCCUCGCUGCCGGCACCAGCAUCCCAGACCUGAUCACCAGCGUCAUCGUCGCGCGAAAAGGAUUCGGCGACAUGGCCGUCUCCAGCUCCGUUGGCAGCAACAUCUUCGACGUGACCGUUGGGCUUCCGGUACCGUGGCUACUCUACGGCUUGAUCUACGGAAAACCCGUGGAGGUGAACUCGGUGGGCAUGGUGUGCAGCAUAGCGAUCCUCUUCUGCAUGCUGUUGUUUGUCAUCAUGAGCAUCGCCUGUUUCAAGUGGCGAAUGAACAAGGGCCUCGGGUUUACGAUGUUCCUCCUCUACUUCGUCUUCGUUGCCGUCUCGCUGAUGUUCGAGUACGAGUUCCUGGUCUGUCCAGCCUAGGAACGCGGACCAACCGAGCGAUCCAGAGGUCCAGCAGAGACGGUAGAUGGACGCACAUUUACGGGUCUCGUCAUCGUCAUUAUCAUCGUCGUCGGCGAAUCGUCCACGGCCGAUGAGAACAAUCUUCCUCGAGCGCCGCAUCGAUCGAAAGAGGAACGACAGACAACAGCCUUCCCGAAAUAACAACCGAAACAAUGUUGAUGCAUCACAUCCCCUUCCCUCGUUCCCUAAAGAAUCUCGUUACUCUCCCAUCGCCGGUUUAACGAUUAAACGGUUAUUACACGUCACCCAGGUUACGAAGCGUUUUUGUUCUAGUCGAGAUACGUGUAAAUAUUGUAAAAACCUUGAAAUACCUGAAACAAAAUACUCGUCUCGUUAAGAAUUUUAGCGGCGAAUUCUGUUCGACGAACAGCCGUAGUCGUCGCUUUGUCUGAACACAGCGAGCGCGUCGGCCAAUCGUGCCAACGAUCGCGCCAACUGUAUCUACGUUUGCGUAAUCUAGAGAGAAACAGAUCGCUACGAUCUCGUUCCUUUUUGCUAUUUCUUCUUCCUCCGACGCUACUUCUUCUUCUUCUUCUUCUUCUUCUUUUCCUACCUUCUUUUUCUUCUUUUAUCUCUUCUCCGUAAUUCUACUCCUUGUUACUUCUACUCCUAUUCUACUGCUUUUAUACCACGUUGUUUCUUCCCACGAUACUUAUCCUAGAUGUAGCGUCUCGAUUCGAACAACUCGCCCGUCGAAGCCACUCGUUAGACUCUCGCACGCUCGAAGCUCGACGAAACGCCGUUUUCCAACGCGAUUUCUCUCGAGGAUCGUCGAACGCACGACCGAGUUUAGAGCUACCGGUUUACCCGCGGCAGAAGGCAUCCGAUACGUCGAUGUUUUCGCUUUGAUACGCGACUCGUCAAGUGGCGUUAGUCGUACUGCCAAAUUGUUUCACGAUGGAAACAAUGAAUUCGACACCGUGUAAAGUAAAAUAUAUCGAUCGAACGAAUCCACGAUUCGUGCCGCUAGUUCCCGAUCGCGAUCUAAAACCGGUUGACGCGAUUUCAUCCGCCGAGUAAGCGAUCGACGAUCUCUCGUUGCACAGUGGACGGCCUGACGGCUCGCUGAUUUCUCUCUAUAAAGUGCAACACUUUCUUUUCGUCUAUAACCGUAGGAUCUAGCCAAAUCUACUCUGUCGUGUUCGUAAAAUCUGCACGGACGCGCUUCCGACGCUCGACGCUUCGUUUUCGAAUUCGUUACACGCGAUAGCGUUAGGCAACGUUCCCCUUUCGCCGUGUAUUUUUAGUCACGCGCGAAGAACAAGGCAACUAUCGGAACAACGUUGCGAAAAAUUCAUUCAGGGACAAAACAUGCGAGUGACAAACGUUCCGGCUAAUUGGCCAGCAGCGUGUCACCUCGAUUAAUCGCUCGAAACUCGCAAAGCCGUUCGAUCCGCGUUGUGCUUGCUCGAUACCAUUGUUCCGCCUAACGCUAUCCCCCGAGGCCGUUUUUUCCGCGUACGGCUCCGCGAAAUUACAUUGUCUCGCGAACGAAAACAGUAGCCGUGGGAGGAAAGAGACGGCGCGCGAGGGUCGGAACCAUGACGAAACGCGGCGAACUCCGGCUCGCCUUCAAUCGAUCGGCCACGCGUCGCGUUUUCAUUGACCGAAAACGAAUCCGCCGAUCGUCAGCGCUCUAACGUUGUACGCAGAGAACGGAAGCGCCGAUUCGGAUCGCGAAUCGCCGAAACGACGGUGGAUCGAUCGAUCGUUUCGACCAUAGAAAAUUGAUUAUCUCUCUUCUAAUUAUUCUACAAGUGUAAGAAUAUCUUCGGUAUUUGAAAAGAAUCGCCGACGUUGAAAUCGAAAAAAGACCACCCUCGUUUCAGCAACGAUUUUACCGGUAGAACACGCGCCUCCGGUUUCCGGCGUGCCUGUUUUUAACUUCGAUUAAUAGCUAUUCAACUAAUCUACGUAAGAGACACGAGAAGAGGUCGAAUCUUCCUAAACGCGUAGCGAAACUGACGAAACGCAGUCUUCGAGGGGAGUCGUCGUGCAGUCGACUCGAACGUCAUUCGAAACGAACACCCGCGACGCUUGCUCUGCACCUCUCUCUUGAUGGUAUUCAGUUUACGAUCGAGUCGCUGCACGCCGUUCUUUCUCUGUAGAAGAGUAACGCUAACGAACCUCCAAUACCGGAGAUCACGGGGCAAAUAGAAGAGUGAAACGCUCGAGGCAAAAACGAAAAAGAGACUUUUUGGUUACUUAAAGGAAAAAGGAGGGAAAAGAGCGUGGUUCCGUGAUCCCGGAUCGAAAGCGACUCUCACUAAGCUAUCUUUCGCUGACAUUCUUUCGAGUUUUCGAUGUCACGCUACGUACGUUUCGAGCGCGUAGAUUAUAAACAAAUAGGUAUAAACGUGAUAUCGACUAAGAUAAGGAUACUGAAAGCGGAGAAGGCGAAAUCGCAGCGCGACUGCGGUUCGACGAGAGGAUUAAAAGGAACGACGUAUAUAUCCGGAACCGCCUGAACGCCUAACAGCGGCCUAGCUUUUUACUAAAGAAGAAAAGAAAAAAAAAACACACAAAAAAAAAAGAAAUACUCGCACAACGCAAAAUGCUGUUUACGGAUGCAGAGAAUCAAAUCGUAACGAGGAGAGACCAGAAAUCACGGUGAACCGGAGAAGAAACGGAGUAGAAAAUGACAAGCGAACCUAACCGAUUCGGUAACGAAAUUAAACGAGAAUUCACUUCGCGCAUACUUCAAACGUUGUCACACUUUUGUAUACUCUCGACUAUCGAAACUAAGAGGAGGAACCAUCGCGGUUCACGGUUCAAGCAGCUUUACGCUCUAAGAAGCGAGCUCGUGUUUACGGCGCGUUCACCGUACCCACGAAUCGUAGUUGUUCUACUCUUUAGCCGCUGCUACAUCUCGUUAAUAUCUCGUUCUCGCUCUUCGCUACGGGACUCUUACGAAAAACGUCCGUAGCCGGGUGCUGUUUGACUCUCGCGUUUCACCGACUUUUACAUCUUCUAGCAUCGAACUAAUCUUACGCUUCUACUACUAUUACGAUAAUUCUACGUUGAUCCGUGGCGAUCGGCCGUGGUAACGCGUUCUCGAGGACCGACUUGGCGAUAGCUCGAAGAAAGAAGAGGAACGUUCUAUCGGAAUAGAUGCGAUCGCCGAUCGUCACGUGGUUAUUACGCUGCGUCGCGUCUAAUUGUCAGCCGUGUUCGCCUUAUCGUCUACCGAUACUACUUCAACGAGGAAGUUUCGUAGUCUGUCGAGAAACGAACGGACUAGGCGUUCGUCACGCACAUGCUCGCCAAACGCUGGGUGGCUUUCAUCGAUCCUCUCGCAUCCGCGGAUCGUUCUUUCGAAAGUGGGCUCUCGAUCGUGCCAGUUUCCAUCGAGAAAAUCGCAGGAUCAAACGGGAAAAGGCGAAGCGUUCUCGAAGCGUCCGAACGAAAGGUACGGGAAGGACAAUGAGAAAGUGAAUGCAGCGGCUUCUCACGAGACGAUUUGACAUAACAAGCGCGUAAAUAUAACGACGAAAGCAGGAGAGGAACCUUUAGCGCGAAGUAGCUGGUAGGACGUAGCGUUUCUUAAUAGUUUCGUAAACGAUUACAAGAAGCAAGUAGCGAAAGAUGCACAAUACGAUCUUCCCGAAGUACCGAUCACCGAUUAACAAAACGAUUAAAGGAUACCAGAAAAUGUACAUACACACACAUGCGUACACGGACAUACACAGGACAAGCACACACACACACGCGCGCACGCACACAUAUACACAUAUACGCGAAGACACGUACAGAGACAUAUGGAAAGAAGAGAAACAAACGGCGGCGCCUCUUUUUUGCAAUUUAGCAUUUUUAGUACCACGCCGAGGAAGAGAAUGAAAGAGUGUGUAUGUGAAAGAGAGAGAGAGAGAGAGAGAGAGAUUCCGUGUAGCUUCGAUUAUUAUAAACGUUUUCAAUCAAACAUUUGUUAUCGUAGCGCGUACUGAUACCGUAACGAUCGAUUAUUAUUAUUAUACAAAAGCUCGUCGAAACAUAGAAAAAUCACACGCAACCAACAGGUUCAACGCUGGCGACGUUUGAUCGUCGCAGAAGCGAUCCGACCUGCGUCGAGCACGGGUGUGGCCGAGGCCGCGAACGAAGUAACGCAAUUCCUCGAGCUUCCGGCCUUCCUCUCGUACGAAUUCCUCUUGCAUUCGAUCAACGACAGAGAACGAACGAUUGACAAAGAAAGCCGAGCAUCGUCUCUACGAAACAAAUGUUCUUCCUGGAUUCAACGACGAGAAAUGUGAAAGCGAAUCGUCCGGAUGGGUAACGAAACUCCGUACGUUCUUUUCGCGGAAAUUUCUCGUCCCGAAUCGAAAUCCUGUACAAAACGGAACGCAACGUAGUUUAACGUAUUCGUGCCCUUAAAGAGAAAAGAGGGUAACGAUAAAUAGAGAGUUCGUUAGGUUGUUCUCGUUGAAACGAAAACGGAUGAACGGGAAAUCGCGUGAUAAGGCGAAGGUCGAACGGGCGAAAUGCUCGAAGCUCGGGGUAUUAUCGCGCUCGUAAUUUGUACUUUAUAAUACUUUAGGAUAAACAUCGUUGAGGGUUGAAAGGGGACAUCGAGUUUCAAUUCUAAUCUUUGAAUUUUCGACGCGCGUCUCGCCGUGAGACGUAACGGGACACACAUCGUUGCGGCCGAUCCCAUAUUUAACGGCUCGAGAUUCAUUUUUAUAUAUUAAAAGAGAAAAUAAAAAAGGAACAAAAAAAGAAACAAAUACGCGUAUGUAAGAGCGAUCGUUCAAGUCGAAUCUUGCGUUGUCGAAGACGUCGGUACACGAAUGCUACCGGUGCCAGUGUUGACCGAAACCGUGUGUUGCGAAUUGUGUUCAUGGUUCAAGAGUAAAUUCCUUCGUUUUCUUUCGCCGUGUUCGGGACGCAUGUAGAUCUAAGCCGAUGGAAAAGGUUCCUUUUGUUCGACCGAUGGAAACAGGAGAACGAGGAAGGAAGGAUCUUAUCGAAGUAUAUUUUACGACCCACUUUCUUUUCAACGCGAUCGUCAUCGCGGUUGCCCUAAUUUCUUUUUCUUUUUCCUUUCGCUCUCGUCUCUUUUCGUUAUUGUAUUCUAAAUACGGCAGCGAUAAAAAAAGAAAAAAAAUAUGCGCGCGUCAAACUCCGUUGGUUGAUUCUUUACACAACCGUUGUGUAAUUCGUAUCACGGGAUCAGGGUCGUUCGUUCGAGAAAUUUUUAUUCUAUUCUCGUGUCGCGAUUCUUCGAGCAUCCGCAAAUAACGAGACGGGGACAGUCGCUCUUCGUCAAAUAACACAAACGGAGUACCAAUGUGAAUCGAGGGAAUUCGGACGUGACACGCGAAACACUUUCGAGCAAAACGCAAUGCCGUGACGAUAGAGCCGAAUGACCGUAAACCUGUCGAACGGUUUGCAUCCUUCGCGAUACGAGAGGACAAACUUCUUUCCCUCUGUAUGACGUACGGUCGUAUCGAAAAUAUUGUUUUCCAUUCCGAUAACGUAGCUUUAAUUGUCGUUAUAUGGUUUAUUUAAAAGAAGGAAAGGAGACGGGGAGAAAAUGAGGAAGAGAAGGAUCGGGAGUAAGAGCGCGAGCGCGUACCAGAACGCACGAGAGAACGAGAAAAAUAAUUGUGAGCUUGAAUGUAUGUAGAUAGGGGUGUGAGUGAGUGAAAGAGAGUGAUGGACAGAAGGUGGGGAGGAGAGGGGAGGGGUUGUGGAAGAAAACCGAACAGAAGAGAACAGAAAUUCCGCUUACAAAGGCUUAAAAAUACAUUCUCUUGGCAAUGACAAGGCGCGAACGCACAUAUCAAAGAGAAGGAGACGCUGACGAUUUAAUAAAGUAACUAAAUACUUAGCGAUAUUAUUAGAUACUUAUAUUGUAAGAUACUUAGGGAAAAGUUAAAAAAGAAAAAAAGGAAAAGGAUAAAGGUGUUACAAAGUUUCUAUAUAUGAUUAAAGAUUAUAUUAUUAAAUACGUAUUAUAUGUAUAUAUAUAGUAUAUAUAUAUAUACAGUACAUAUAGUAUAUAUAUCGUAUACACAUAUAGGUACACAUCUAUAUGUAUAUACAUAUAGAUAUUAUAUAUACAUGUACUGUUUUCGGGUGGUGAUCCAGCCUGUCGAACGAUUCGAUCGCAUGCAGAUUGCAGAUCGUUGUUGGACACGCAGUGGCGGGCGCGGGCGCGCGCACACACCCACACACGCACAUCGCACUAGGUAUACUAUAAGACGUGUGUGCGCGCGUGCGAAAGUUGCACGCGUGAAAGAUGCCAGUUAAUUAUCGAUCUUCGGCGUACGCUAUACGUUCUCUUACGAUUAGUUACACGCAACAAUACAGGUGCUCGCUUGCAACGUGCGCGCGCGCGUGCGCGUGUACGCACGACACACACACAUAUAUAUAAAUAUAUACAUAUACGUGUGAUAUCGUUCGUUCCGAUUUUUCUUUUCACGUAUAUUAUAUACAAAGCACACGUAUAUAUAUAUAUAUAUACAUAUAUUUACAUAUAUAUAUACGUAUAUACAUAUAUAUAUAUAUUUUAUGAUUGUCGUUGUUGAAUUCGUCGCAUUACAUAGGGUUUUACCCCCGUCCAUCGCCGCAGUAGUAGACGUACUGGAUACGACGUAAUUGAGAAAAAGUACUUCGGAUUUUACGAGGUAAACGGAUGACGAGAGAAACCUAGGUUACCGCAGAAUCUUAGAUGAAAAUGGAUAAAGUAACAAAAUAUUAUAAAUAAUUAUACUAUUAUACAUUAUAUACAUAUAUUAUCUACAUACUUAUAUACAUAAAGGCGCAUAUAAAUAUGUAAAGGUCUAACGUUGUAUACGUCGGGAUGAGAGAGUCCGAGGAUAGGAUGAUUUUAUUACGGCAACGCUUUCUUUCGCUCGUGCGUACGGAUAUAUUUGAUAAUUGUCGCUCUUCUCUUAACCCUUUCUCUGCCCUUGAGUAUUCGCUCCACGCGCGCCAUAUAUCCCCGCGAUCGUUCCCUUCCAAAUUACACACCUUUUACAUCGGUGAGUGGAUCUUGAUCGCUUCCCCGAUACGAUGCGAGUAGAUGAAAAGAUCGUGUCGCGAUACUCUGCGCUUCGGGAACAGAAGGGCCGUUAGAUCAACGAUCUAAACUUAUUUCUCCGUUACUCGAUCUAUGGGUGGUAAACAGAAUAUUUUUACGAAACUAUCGUUCUAGCGACACGACCGUAGAAUAAUUUCAAAGCUACAUUGUUAAAUUACUAUUCACCGAUUGUUAUAUCAACGUUUAUCUAUUGUUUUUAUCGUACAAACGACGACGUAGAGAAUUAGAAGGAAAAGAAAUUUUUCUAAAGGAAAAGCGUGGAGUUGGAGAAUGACGACAGUACUAGGGUUAAAUUGGAACGUACAAAGGUCGAUUUUCUGUUUUUCGCGGAUAUUUAGGAUACGUGCGAUUAGACGAAACCAGCCUAGUACGUAUAUAUACAUGUAUAUGUAUAUGUAGAUGUAUCUAUAUAUACGUGUAUAUAUAUACACAUACACACGCACACAAGCAUAUAUAUGUAUGUAUGUAUAUAUAUAUAUUAUAUACACUUUCACAUAUACACAGACGUACACGUACAACACACCACACAUACACAAAUAUACACAUAUGUAUAAAUAUAAAUAUGAAUUUUACUACGGAUUGCAGCGUGCACGUGCAAUUUGAUCGGGAAACAACGAGGUCUCGAUAAGCGUUCGAUUUGACGAUUUUUGUGAUACCUGUCAAAUAUGUAAACGGCAAAUCGAUCUUCUCGAUAGACGACCACGCUUUUCGUUUGUCUCAGUCACGAUGUAAUUUCGUACGGAUACCGGUACGAGAAUAUUCUCAACGGAGACAAGACAAAUGCUGCACCAACGACCAUAUUAUUUACACCUCACGCAGGAUGAUUUUCGGCUUAUAUCUAGAGAAAUCGCUGAUCGCGUGCGAGUUGAACGUUAACGAGGAUAUUACAUGCAAGAUAAAAAAAAGAAAAAAAAGGAAAAAAAAUCAGUACAGUGAAUAUCUCGCAGGAAGAUAAAUAAAUAAAUGAAAAUAUAACAGGCUGAUGUUAAAGAGAAAUGUCGCGGUAGAACCGAUAGCGAACGAACAUUUAGGAUCGGUAAUUGAACGUAGCCGAUUACAACGUUUUCCUUUCUUCUGUCUUGUUCGAUCGUAAAAACAUACUUCACGUUAUCUCGUCGAUUACAAUCGAAAUUGCACGAUUUGUUCUUUUAUUCGAAAUAUCGAAAUCUUGGAGUCUGUUACAGUUCGCCGGGGGAUUUUAAUUAAACGUCGUGCGGUGAUCGUUAACGAAAAUUGGUGAUCGGCCGAAUCAACGAUCGAUCGGAUGCUCGACUUUCGUUCGACGUGUCGGUGCUAUCGCGACCGAUAACGCGUGCAAUAAAACAGAAUAUGUAAACAAUAUUAAUAUCAUUAUAUACAACAUUUUUACGGCAUAUACGAAUACGAUGUAGAGAAAACAAGUGAAAACAAGUUUAGGAUAAUAUUACUUGUUGUUGUCUACCAUAGCGUUGUAGUUAUAUACAAUACAGGUAGGAAAUUAUAGGCAAGCCGAAGCGAAUGAGAGGGAGAACGAGUGCGAGAGUGUAAUGGAACUGAGAGUAAACGCGUAUGAACGAUGUACGAGUGUGUGUUAGAGAAAGAGAAAGAAAGAAAGAAAGAAGGAGAGAAAGAGAUGCGAAUGAGACGAGAGAAAAAGAGAGGAGAAAAUUUGAUGCAAUUGACGAGCGUACAUGUUAUUAUUACGUAAUAGCAACUAUAUAUAUAUUCACAUAUAUAUGUAUUGUACAUAUACCUAUGUGUAUAUAUAUACAUACUCGAGAAAGCUGCUUACUUGAAAGCAACCAACAACCAACAGAAGAAAACAAAAAAAUCAAUGAUUAACAUUAUAUACAGAAGUCUAUACAUAUAAACUUUAAAGAACGUGUGCCUAUGUGCGCACGUGCGUACGCGCGCGUACGUGCGGACACUCGACAACCCCGAAUCCACCCGAUUCCCACCUCCUGCCCAACCAACCACCCUCCUCUGCAGCCUCUCUCUCCUUCCUCAACUCUCACAUCCAUCUAUCCCCCCUCUCUGCCCCUUCACCCUCAUCUGUCCAUCCAUCCAUCCAUCCAUCCAUCUAUCCAUCCAUCUAUCCCUUCUCCCCCUUCCCUUCAUCCUUUCUCUUCCUGUCUUUCUGUGUCUCCCUCCAUUCUACUUCACACGCACUUGCGCACAUAUCCAUGACGCAUUACCGUAGCCGUGUUGUGUAGGGAAUGUCUUUAACGAAUAAGAUACGAUUUCUCAUGUUACAUGUUAUAAGAAGCAAAAAAAAAGAAAAAAAAAACGAAGCAGCAAAAGUAACUCAAAAAAGAAAAAAAAAAGAUAAUAACGAGACAAAUCUCUUCUCCGGUCAGUUGCAGGAUCGCUCGAACGUUGUCGAAUCAAUAAUCCUGUAGACGAUUCCGUGUUGUAAAGAAAGAAAGAAAGAAAGAAAGAAAAGAAAAGGAAGAAGCAGAGAAAAAAUAGAGAAAAGAGGAAAGGAAGAAAGGAAUACGUGACACGAGAGAAAAGGCGAAGGGAACUUUCGUUGAGGAAUGUACGCAUAUACUCUGUACAUUACAAGUUGUUCGUAUUCAUUAUUAUUGUUAUUAUUAUUAUCACUACGAUUAUUAUAAUUAUUACUAUUAUUGCUACAGAUAUGUGUAUAUAUGUAUACAUGUAUAUCAGUGUGUAUAUACAUAUAGACACGUAUUACGCGUGUUUUGCCAGCCGCGGUGUUCCUUUAUUCGUGGCUCAACUUUUUUCCCCUCUUUCCAGCCGACCCACUUGCUAUGCCACAGCCAAUGAUCGUGCUUUUCUCGUCACAACAGAAAAAUCUACAAGUCGAUUAACAAACCGGCCGAAAUAUGAGAAAAUGAAAAUGCGAUUGAAGAUGCCAUCGGGAUAGGUUGACGCGUUCAAUCGUUCAUCAUUCCGUUUCGUUGCCACCCUCUUGAAAUUAAAGAUUUUUUCGUUUAAAAUGAAAUUACAAAAAGUUAGAGUAUGUUAGUUGUCUCAUUUUGCGUUCAAAGACGAAACGAUUACCGAAAUGCAUACUCGAUGUUUCGUUAUUCUGUUCGUUUGAGACGUCAGCCUAUAAAAGUAUGUAUGUAUUUCUCUAGAGAAUGCCAUCACGCAAAGGUGCAUGUAGAAUGUACAUACAUAUCUUUAGGAAAGUUCCUUUGAAAUCACUUUUCAAGUUCUUAAAGUUGCUUUCUCUUGUUCCAUCGCUACGAUUAUAUCACUUCCCUUGCUUAUUGAAAAAUAUUUAACACUUUGUACUUUGUAUCUAUCUACGAUUCGUGUUUCAGGUUUUUUCCAUUUACAAAUUGGACGAUGAAAAACUAGAAAAAGUAUUCCAUUAUUUUGUUUAAUAGAGCUAAUCGAGUAUGACAUUCCAGUCUAAGAUAUUUUCUUGGAUAUUUUUAUUUUUUCGUCCUAAAGUAUUAGUCUUAAAAAUUAAAAAAUAUCGUGCUAUCGGGAUAAUUGCGAUCGAAACGUCAGCAUAUGGCAUAAGAAGUUGAAAAAGAGACGAGAGGAUGCACGAUCCGCGAACAAUGAAUCGGAUAUGCGGGUCAACGAUGUUAGCUAGCGUUGUGACCAGUUUUUCCUUAUACUUAACUUUGACCGAGAGAGUCCUCACGGCACGGCGUAGAUGGAAAAGUCGGGCGGUGGGUUAUCGAUCAUUAAGAAUCAGAUAUAUAUGCAUUAUUCCGUACCAAGUACGGCUAGAGCUAUCGAGUAAUUUAAUAUAGAAUUAAAACAGUCAACUGUAUCGCGAUUAACGGAGCACGAACGAAGAAAGGCCUGCAUCGACCAUCUUUCCUCCACACUUUUAACCCGAUUUCCCGUUCCUUCCAAAAAAAAACCCAGUUCCCGUUAUUCUAAUAUUCCUGCCUCCCUCUAACCCUCAACAAAAACAAGAUAACAUAUUGUAAUCUAUUGUAGAUUGUUGUAGAUAAAUUAUACGGUUUGACCGUACAUUGUUACUUUUUGUCGACAAUAUAAAAUACACAGAUAUAUAAGUAAUUAA